CUAUUUUAUAGCUUCAAGAAAACUAUAAAACAAAGACCAUUUGUAUUUUUUCCUCAAUGCCAGAUCAGUACCUGUGUGGUGUAUAACUCUUAAUACUUAACACUUAUUAAACAAAGCCGGAUAAAAGAGAAAUUGAAAAAUUGAUAAGUGGCCAGUCAUGGUUUUCUAUCUUGCACACCUGUUGGUUGCCCUUAUUGUAUGUAAUUACACUCAAGCCUUUCAGUUUACCGUAAAUCUCCCUGAUAGCGCACAGACUAAAAUCGAGGAAUGCAUUCAAAAGUCUAGAAACUCACCGGUAAUACCAUGGCAAGCGGAAAUGGCUUGUGGUCAUGAGUAUUACGCUAAUCUUGGUGCAAAUAAUCUUACAGAAGAAGAUUGGGCAGUGUUCGAAACAGCGACUGAGGAAGGUUUUGGCCACACUCCUCCAUCAUUUGGCAUAAGCGCAAGGCGGGAAAUUCGCACAUUAUCCAAAAAGGAAUGGGAAAUCGUAACAGAUGUUUUCAGAAAAUUAUACGACAAAGGAGUUCUUCAAUCAUUUGGCCGAUUGCACGGAAACGCAAUAUUAAACGUUCACAGGGGAGCUGCGUUUUUACCAUGGCAUCGUGUUUUCCUCGCUCACUUCGAACAAGAGAUGAAGAAGAUUAAUCCUAGCGUAUCCUUGCCAUAUUGGGACUAUACAAUUGACUAUGACAUUCCACAACCUUAUGACACUGUCAUGUGGACUCCAUGCUUCUUUGGAGAUAACAAUGAUACAGUUUCAACAAGUUCUUUCCAAUUUCUGUACGGAGCUCAUGGCGCCGUGAUCGCAAGACACAUUGCGGAAGAUUGCUCCUCAUCAAGAUUUAUAAAUAAAACAGACAUGGACAGGUUAAAAGGAUUUUGUAGAUUUGAGGACAUAACAACGGGUGCUAAUACAACAAAAGAAAAGAUGGUUCACAAUCUUGAACAUCUACACAACGGCGUUCAUAAUUACAUUGGUGGGGAUAUGGGUGUCGUUCAAAAUUCAGCAUACGAUCCAAUAUUUUGGUUUCAUCAUGCAUUUAUUGACUAUAUAUGGGAGUCAUACAGGGAACAUCAGACGGCGAACUGUGGCGACAUAGAUAUUGAGUCCGAUUACCGGAAAGAGAAUGAUACUGGCAGGAAGGGUAUUUUAAAGCAAGGCUACAAUGAUACCUUAUUUGGUUAUCACCACUUGAAGAAUAAAGAUGGACUUUGGCGAAAUUGGACAAAGGUAUUUUUUAACUAUGAGACCCAACCUGCCUGUGGUGGAAAAUGCACGGGAGAGUACCUUUACUGCGAUGACAAAAAACGGUGUUUAUCUCGUACAACAGAUGCAUGUAAGGAAAAAUCGACACGUGAAAAACGCGAAAGCGAAGAAUCACUUGUACCACAAAUUUCGUGUAUGUCUGGAACGAAAUUUAGUGGCCUUAAAGGUGAUGGAAGAACAAUAGACACGUCUAAAGAAGAAAGUGCAGCUAUUUUGAAAAACAUAAGACAAGAUAUUUUGAAAAACAUAAGACAGGAAGAGCCCGAAACGGAAGAGGAUAGAGAUCCUUCACCUGAGAGAUUUGGAUUUGUUGUAAUCGGAAUAUGUGUUGGCGUGGCUUGUACUAUUGCAGUUUUCCUGAUUGUAAGACUAUGGAGAAAUAGAAACAAGUAAACAUUGAAAACAAGAAUACACUCUUUCAUCUUUAAACACUGUUUUAUAUAGAAUACCUUUAAAAACUGUCAUGUGUUAAUUGGAUAUGUUUAUUUAUAUUUGUUCAUUUAAUCCACUUAGGCGAGUUGAAAUAUGUUCGAAUAAAAUGUUGUCUUUUUUCAAUCGGAGCUACCAAUCGUAUAAGUUUCAUUUUGCAUUCUUUUUCUUUGCAAUUCUUUCGAUUGGCUGCUAAGUACUUUUUGUAUUUAAGGUUUUCGUAAUUGUUAAUAGGUGUAUUCAUUAUUAUACAAGAAUUGUCUGUUUUGUUGUUGUGAUAAUAAAUAAUACACAUAUCUAAGUAAGUAAAAAAUUUUAACUGUAUGUAAGUGUGUGAAUAGGAUACCUUAUACACAAGAUUCUAUCACUCCACGUGAUUUUGUCACUAUAGACAAAGAAGGAAAAAACCGGUGUUAAACUGCCAAUAAACACUGGUUAGGGACUACUUGUAUAUGCGGCUUUUAUGUUUUUUUACCCUCGAUUAUAUAGUUUACAAAGCCUUUUAAAGCAACAAUAAAAAGCAUUUUUAUAUAUAUUUUCAGUUCUUAUAAUGUUUUCUUUUCAUACAAUACCCAAAUAAUAUCUCACAUACACUAACGCCACAUAUUUGAUCCAUAUCAGUUAAUAAAUAUUUUGACAAAAUGGCGCCAAUCCGUAAGCAGCGUAAUGACGUCAUCGCAAGUAAACAACUCAUUCAUAAACAAGCUGACGUUAUUUCAUACAUACAAGAAUAAUAAAUGGGGCACUGAUGUAAACACAAUACGACGUUACCCACCUAUCAUCAGCCGAAUAUUCCACUAACGCAAGAAACGUGAAUGUAUUCAGUGAGCUGCGAAAGGAGCGUAGUUUGCAGGGUGUUAAUUACUUUCUUUAUUCACUUCACGAUAUUUUACUUUUGAAUUCAUUUUCAAAAUUUUCAUGAAAAUUAACAUAAAACUGCAUAGAGGAAUGCUGCUUUAAGUAGCUAUAAUCCUAUUAAUGCAACAAAGAUUAAAACUAUUCACAUGAAUACGUUAAUGAACUUCAAUAUAUACAAACGCAUAUUUUUGUCCGCGAGAUUGCGAGUUUUCAUUGUAAGGGCUUAAAUUUAUACAAGGUAUGAAUAUUGAAGCUUGCUUACACCUAUCACAAAUUUGCUUUUGAAUAUCAGGACUACGUUUUGUGUCUAUUUUAUAGUAUGUUUAGUUAAAAUUUGUGACAGUUAUUCAUGGUAUUUACGAUGAUUAUGUACUUCCUUCUAUGCAUUGUGAAGAACUCAUGUCUAUAUACUAGUAUAUAAAAUUUACAUCUAAUUUUUUAUAAAGCCCCUUUUUUGUUUCUUAUGACAUUCUUAUUUUUCACACUUCUCUUGGCAAAGAAGGCCGUUGCGCUUAUGACCUUUAGGACACUACGAUAGCCUGUGAAUAUUAAAUAAUAUCAAUAUUUUUUAAAUAUACGAAAUUUAUAACAAACGUAGUUUUUACAAAUAAAGUGUACAUAUACUUAA